GAUGAACGCUAGCGGGAGGCUUAACACAUGCAAGUCGAGGGGCAGCAUAGGGUAGCAAUACUCUGAUGGCGACCGGCAAACGGGUGAGUAACGCGUAUGCAACCUACCCUGUACAGGGGGAUAACCCGGAGAAAUUCGGACUAAUAUCCCGUAAUAAUAUCCGGAGGCAUCUUUGGAUAUUUAAAGUUCCGACGGUACGGGAUGGGCAUGCGUAACAUUAACUGGUUGGUAAGGUAACGGCUUACCAAGGCUAUGAUGUUUAGGGGUCCUGAGAGGGUGGUCCCCACACUGGUACUGAGACACGGACCAGACUCCUACGGGAGGCAGCAGUGAGGAAUAUUGGUCAAUGGGCGCAAGCCUGAACCAGCCAUCCCGCGUGCAGGAAGACGGCCCUAUGGGUUGUAAACUGCUUUUCCAGGGAGAGAAACUUACGCACGUGUUGCGUGACUGACGGUACCCUGGGAAUAAGCAUCGGCUAACUCCGUG
rnacentral:rRNA from 1 species